rnacentral:lncRNA from 1 species
UGCCUAGUUGCCUAUUAAUGGUGAUCACUUGCCUAUUGUUGAUGCUCAACUGACUACAAAUACCGUGAAAUUGCUUAAUUUUGAUGCUCAGUUGCCUAUUACUGAUAAUCAUUUGCCAACGGUUGAUGUUCAGUUGCAUACCAUUGAUGCCAAGUUGCUUGCUAUUUGUAAAUAAUUUAAGUUACCAACACGGAAUGACAUUUUCAACCUGACUUCCUGUUUGUCAUUGGAAAGAACAUGGCCGAUGCAAUCGAGAGACUGAGAGGAACUGGACUUGGCAGAGGAAUGCAUAGAAAUAUCUGCCUUUGCCAGGAGAAUCCAAACCUGCCUAAUAGCCUAUGAAUGUGGAAUCCCGCCCUUUUUUGCGGGUACUAAGAGUCCUCUCACUACCAACCAGCAGACAUCAUCAUCUGGCUGGGUCUUGCCGGUAUCAACAACGAGAAAGAAGAACCAAAUGG